rnacentral:lncRNA from 1 species
AAGGCACACACCGAACUUUAUGAUUGAAAAAUAAACAACUUAUAAAUGUGUUGCCGUCAGCAGGCUUGAUAAGAAUUAUUCUGUUUUUAUUUCUCUCUUCCAGAUUUUAUUUCAUCUUCCAUUGAAAAUUAAUUUUUAUCUAUGAAUUUUAAAUUACUGCCAUUUUUGGUUAUACAAACUUUGUCACUUAAUUUGACAUGUACAUCG